rnacentral:rRNA from 1 species
UUAUUAAAAACACAGGACUUUGCAAAAUUAAAAAUGAGGUAUUGAGUCUGAGGCCUGCCCGGUGCUACGGAAUAAGGGGAUGUGUUUAGGCAUUGAAUUGAAAUUUUAGCAAACGGCGGCUGUAACUAUGACGGUCCUAAGGUAGCGAAGUUCCUUGUCGGGUAAGUUCCGACGCGCAUGAAUAGCGUAAUGACUGGGGCACUGUCUCCACGACCAACUCGGUGAAAUAGUAGUGGCGGUGUAGAU